AAGAGCAACAAAUCACACCAGAAAACUAUGAUGAUGUGAUCACUGCUGGACUGAGAGAUCUUGCUACAGAUGACGAACCAGAAAACUAUGAUGAUGUUGUCAUCAUACCACAGUUCUCCAGUGAUAAAGCAGAGGGUGUUCAGGAGGAGUAUGAUGAUGUGAAGAAUGUCAGAGAGUAUAUGAGCAACAUGUUUG